rnacentral:misc_RNA from 1 species
AAGUCGUAACAAGGUUUCCGUAGGUGAACCUGCGGAAGGAUCAUUACCGAGUGCGGGUCUGCCCCCGGGCGCCCAACCUCCCCCCCGUGAAUACGUGACCCUGUUGCUUCGGCGGCGUGUUCCCCCCCGGGGGGUCCGCCGCCGGGGACCAUUGAACCCCGAACCGAGUAUGUUGCAGUCUGAGCUUUAAUAGCAAAUCAGUCAAAACUUUCAACAAUGGAUCUCUUGGUUCUG